rnacentral:lncRNA from 1 species
AAUAGUGCUCUUUACUGUAUGCUACUUACAUAGCCUAUUAGAGAAAAAAAUAUUUAUGCACUGUGAUGAGUAGUAGAAUACAUGGUAUUUCUAAAAUAUAGCAAUAGUAAAAUAAAAUAAACAUAAGCAAAACAAAAUAACAAAAUAAAAUAAAAUAAUAAAAACAUAUUAUGAAGCACCCACGCAAGCAGUGACCGUUGCAAGCUGACUGUGUGACGAGCGUCACACACGCCAUCG